ACUAAAUAUGACUAAGAUCUACUAAGAUUUUGGCAUGAUUCCUGACAUAUUUAUAUUAAAAAGCAUCAUCAUUUCGUAUUAAGUGAAAUAUGCUGCUUAUGGAAGAGAUAAUUGUGGCGAGUUGCUGGUUCUGGAAGGCAAAACUGGAAUUCAUAUAUCCGAUAUAACAUGUGACACAAAUCGUGUUGGAACAAAUACUCUGUUAGCCAUAAUAUUUUGCUUGAUUUGUUCUUUCACAAGCGAGUGAUUCCUUUUUCCAUUCUUUGGCAACAAUUCUAAGACCCUUACAUAAACGUUAGGCAGUCCGAAGUUAUCCUGUAGCUACUAUUAUAGGCAGGUCCACAUCAGGACUUCAGUCUUGCGUUCGGUAAACCUGCGUUAACAAAUAAACCAUGUAUGUAUGUAUGCCUGUAUGUAUUA